rnacentral:rRNA from 1 species
UACGUAGGGUGCGAGCGUUGUCCGGAAUUAUUGGGCGUAAAGAGCUUGUAGGCGGUUUGUCGCGUCUGCUGUGAAAAUCCGGGGCUCAACCACGGACUUGCAGUGGGUACGGGCAGACUAGAGUGUGGUAGGGGAGACUGGAAUUCCUGGUGUAGCGGUGAAAUGCGCAGAUAUCAGGAGGAACACCGAUGGCCAAGGCAGGUCUCUGGGCCACUACUGACGCUGAGAAGCGAAAGCAUGGGGAGCGAACAGGAUUAGA